CGGGGGAAAGAUUUAUCGCCAUAAGAUCGGCCCGCGUUGGAUUAGCUAGUUGGUGGGGUAAAGGCUCACCAAGGCGACGAUCCAUAGCUGGUCUGAGAGGAUGAUCAGCCACACUGGGACUGAGACACGGCCCAGACUCCUACGGGAGGCAGCAGUAGGGAAUAUUGCGCAAUGGGCGCAAGCCUGAUCCAGCCAUGCCGCGUGAAUGAUGAAGGUCUUAGGAUUGUAAAAUUCUUUCACCGGGGAAGAUAAUGACGGUACCCCGAGAAGAAGCCCCGGCUAACUUCGUGCCAGCAGCCGCGGUAAUACGAAGGGGGCUAGCGUUGCUCGGAAUCACUGGGCGUAAAGGGCGCGUAGGCGGAUACUUAAGUCGGGGGUGAAAUCCCAGGGCUCAACCCCGGAAUUGCCUUCGAUACUGAGUAUCUUGAGUUCGGGAGAGGUGAGUGGAACUCCGAGUGUAGAGGUGAAAUUCGUAGAUAUUCGCAAGAACACCAGUGGC
rnacentral:rRNA from 1 species